rnacentral:lncRNA from 1 species
UUCCAGGCCACCAGGACUACAUAGUGAAACCUUGUCUCAAAAAGACAAAAGGAAAGAAAAUGUACGGAUUAUAUGUUAUUUUUAAAAAAUAUCUAGACGGGCUUAGUGGCGCACACCUUUAGUCCCAGCACUCAGGAGGCAGAGGCAGGCUGAUUUCUGAGUUUGAGGCCAGCCUGGUCUACCAAGUGAGUUCCAGGACAGCCAGGGCUACACAGAGAAACCGUGUCUCAGAAAACCAAAAAAAAAAAAAAAGUAUACCAAAUCUGCGGGCAUCUUGGCUCCCCAAGUGAAACCAUACUUCAAAAACAAAAAAAAACAAACUCUUUCAGCUUAACAAUAAACAACACACCAAUGAACAAGCAAAGGAAGUAAUUGUGGAAAUACACUCCCUGUCAUUGCUCACUUAGAAACACAGGCUAAAGCUCCAAUGCAGCUUCACGACCGCUCACUUCUUUCCUUCCUCCCUUUCUGAGGCACUGUCACUCUUGAUCCUCCUUCCCCCAACCCUCAUGUGUUAGAGUUCCGGGUGCGCAGCACCAUGCCUGGCCACUCUGACUAUUUCUUAUGAAGGUCAGCACCCACUCACCAUGACUUGCAAACACUCCUACUUACCAACCAAGAAAGAAUGAAAAUGCUGCUAAGAUGCCUGGGGGUGGAGAAGGCUGAGAAACUGCUUUAAAGCAAGCAUGCAAAAGUUCUGUGUUUAAUUCACAAAACAAAAAGGAUUCAAACAACAAAACAUUACACAGCAAUAAAAAUUAAAUCUACGACUGUUGACAGUACAAAUGAACUCUUAUACAUAUACCGCUGAGUGGAAAACCACCACCAAAAAGGAACACAUCUGACCCCAUUCAUUUUAUGAAGGCAAACAGGUUGAGUGACACAUGCCACUAGAAGUCAGGAUUUAUUACUACCAAGGUGUAACUAGCAACUGAAAGGGAAGACAAGGUUGACUCUCAGUAGCGAACUCCAGAUGCUGCCACUAUCCUGACAGAAAAUCCCAGCUAUCUGAGGUCAUUAUUUACAUUAUAUAUUUACAUUAUAUACAUGACAGUUACUAUUACAUACUCUACACUUCCAUAGUCUCUUGCUUUGGUACCGAUAAAAUUUUGUUUUGUUUUGUUUUGUUUUGUUCUGUUUUAAUUAAAAAGAAAAAGCCUACCGGUUGGGAUAAAGAGUCCACCAUCCUCCAUCUCUUCCUCAGCUUGGCGAACCAGAGGUCCGAGUGGCUUGUCUUGAGGAAAGGCAGAACCAUCUGGCUGGACUGACUUCCGAGGCUGGGCACCUGGUUUUGCAGAUUGACUGCUGGAUGACAGCAAAGGAACCUCCCCAUCGGAACGCAGCUCAAGUUCUCCUAGAAGAAUCGCAAACAUUGCUCCACACUCUUUCUGCCCAUGAUUAUUCAUAUGCUACUGCAAAAGUAGCAUCUUUUCCUGAGACCUUUAUGACAGACACCUUCAUGAGGCAUAUUAGGCACACAGGCUUUCCCUUCUCGUCAAGAUGGGCUCCC